rnacentral:rRNA from 1 species
UACAGAGGUCUCAAGCGUUGUUCGGACUCAUUGGGCGUAAAGGGUGCGUAGGUGGCGCGGUAAGUCGGGUGUGAAAUUUCGGAGCUUAACUCCGAAACUGCAUUCGAUACUGCCGUGCUUGAGGACUGGAGAGGAGACUGGAAUUUACGGUGUAGCAGUGAAAUGCGUAGAGAUCGUAAGGAAGACCAGUGGCGAAGGCGGGUCUCUGGACAGUUCCUGACACUGAGGCACGAAGGCCAGGGGAGCAAACGGG